rnacentral:rRNA from 1 species
AUUGAACGCUGGCGGCAUGCCUUACACAUGCAAGUCGAACGGUAACGCGGGGCAACCUGGCGACGAGUGGCGAACGGGUGAGUAAUACAUCGGAACGUGCCCAGUAGUGGGGGAUAGCCCGGCGAAAGCCGGAUUAAUACCGCAUACGACCUACGGGUGAAAGCGGGGGAUCGCAAGACCUCGCGCUAUUGGAGCGGCCGAUGUCGGAUUAGCUAGUUGGUGGGGUAAAGGCCUACCAAGGCGACGAUCCGUAGCUGGUCUGAGAGGACGACCAGCCACACUGGGACUGAGACACGGCCCCAGACUCCUACGGGAGGCAGCAGUGGGGAAUUUUGGGACAAUGGGCGCAAGCCUGAUCCAGCCAUGCCGCGUGCGGGAAGAAGGCCUCGGGUUGUAAACCGCUUUUGUCAGGGGAAGAAACGGUCUGAGUUAAUACCUCGGACUAAUGACGGUACCUGAAGAAUAAGCACCGGCUAACUACGUGCCAGCAGCCGCGGUAAUACGUAGGGUGCAAGCGUUAAUCGGAAUUACUGGGCGUAAAGCGUGCGCAGGCGGCUUUGCAAACAGAUGUNAAGUCCCCGGGCUCAACCUGGGGAACCUGCAUUUGUGACUGCAUCGCUCGAGU